AUGUCCUGUUGAGCAGGGGUACAAUUUUGUUUCAGUUAGAAUAGUUCAAUUAUCUCUUCAUGAAAUGCAAGAGGGGUAUGAUAGAAAAACUCAAUGGACUCUGCUAAAAAUCUUCUCUACCUUAGCACAGUCGAAAAUCAUAAAAACAAAUUGUUAGUGUUAGAUUACUCUUUGAUUCUACUAUGUCUCACCUUAUCUUUUUGCCCUUGUUCUUCUGAUACCAUAACUAUUCACAAACCCAUAAGAGAUGGUGAACUUCUCAUUUCUAAAUCUAAAACAUUUGCUCUUGGAUUCUUCACUCCAGGAAAGUCCACCUCUCGCUAUGUUGGAAUCUGGUACAACAAUUUGCCGAUCCAAACUGUUGUUUGGGUUGCAAAUAGAGAUGCUCCCAUCAAUGACACUUCUGGAAUUCUAUCAAUCAACCAAAAUGGGAAUCUAGAACUCCACCACAACCUUAGCACCAUUCCCAUUUGGUCUACCAAUGUUUCAUUAACACAGUCACAAAGAAAUAACACCAAUGUUAUAGCUCAACUAUUGGAUAUAGGAAACCUUGUUCUGAGGUUAAACGACACCGAAACUGCCAUCUGGGAAAGCUUUGAUCAUCCCACAGACACAAUGCUUCCGUAUCAAAAGAUUGGUUUUGAUAGAAAAAUUAAUCAAAGUUGGGUCCUUCAAUCCUGGAAGACAGAUGAUGACCCUGGAAAAGGUGCGUUCACGGUGAAAUUCAGCACCAUUGGCAAACCACAAUUGUUUAUGUACAACCAUGAUCGUCCUUGGUGGCGUGGUGGACAUUGGAAUGGAGCAAUAUUAGUAGGCCUACCUCAUAUGAUAGGAGAUAUGGCAGUUCGUAAUGUUUCUUGGGUUGAAGAUGACAACUAUGUAUCACUCUCAUAUAACAUGUUUAAUAAGUCUGUCAUUACAAGGAUAGUGGUUCAGCAAUCUGGUUUCUUUCAAACAUUCAUGUGGGACAGUCAAGAGAGUCAAUGGAGCCGGUACUGGUCUGAACCAACAGACCAAUGUGCUAACUACGGAACAUGUGGACCAAACAGUAAUUGUGACCCUUUGAACUUUGAGAGCUUUAAGUGUACUUGUUUACUUGGUUUUGAACCAAAAUUUCCACGUGAUUGGUAUGAGAGUAGAGAUGGGUUGGGAGGAUGUGUAAGAAAAAGAGGUGCAUCUGUUUGUGGGAAUGGAGAAGGGUUUAACAAAGUUUUAAGGGUGAAAGUUCCUGAUAUAUCUGGGGCAGUUGCCAUAGAUGGUUUGACUUUGGAAGAAUGUGAGAAAGAUUGCUUGAGAAACUGUUCUUGUAAUGCCUAUGCAGUUGCUGAUGUGAGGAAUGGUGGUAGUGGAUGUUUGACGUGGCAUGGGAAUUUAAUGGACAUUCAAAAACUUAGUAAUCAGGGCCAAGAUUUAUUUUUGCGCGUCGAGAAAGUUGAACUUGGUAAGAUAUUCCCUCCUACUGUUUUUUUUUUUUUUUGUUUAUAAAUUUGACACCACUUUUAAGUGUAGUUUAAACUUCUUUGGACUUGUUUUUUCUUAUCAGCUAAUUACAACAAAAAAAGCAAAGGAGUCCUUGAUAAAAAGAGGUUAGCUGCAAUUCUUGUAGCUUCUAUAGUUGCAAUUGUCAUCCUCCUCUUCUGUGUGAAUUACAUGUGGAAGAAAAAGAGAAAGGGNCCAAGAUUCAAGGCUGAAAAUAAUUCAUAGAGAUCUAAAAGCCAGCAAUGUUCUCCUUGACGCUGCAAUGAAUCCCAAAAUCUCAGAUUUUGGUAUGGCUAGAAUAUUUGGAGAAGAUGAAAUCCAAGCAAGAACAAAAAGAGUGGUCGGAACAUAGUAUGUGUCACACACUUAUAUCACGAAAAUAUACAGAUGGAUAUGUAUUUUUAUGAUACUCUAACCAUUUUGUUUAAUUGCAGUGGAUAUAUGUCACCAGAAUAUGCAAUGGAAGGACGAUAUUCAACAAAAUCUGAUGUCUUCAGUUAUGGGGUCUUACUACUGGAGAUUAUUGCUGGCAAGAGAAACACACAUUGUGAAAUUGGAAGAGACUCCCCAAAUUUAAUUGGACAUGUAAGUUACAUAUAAUAAAAAGAGUAGCCUUAAAAUUGGCCAACAAUCUAAUGAUGCAUGACAUGACAUAUUUAUUUAAAAAUUGUGUUGUGCAUUUAUAGGUGUGGACACUAUGGACAGAAGAAAGAGCCUUGGAUAUUGUUGAUCCAGCACUAAACCAGUCUUAUCCUCUUGAUAUAGUUCUGAGAUGCAUUCAAAUUGGACUUUUGUGUGUGCAAGAAAAUGCAAUUAAUAGACCAUCAAUGUUAGAAAUUGUUUUCAUGCUAUGCAAUGAAACACCUCUCUGCCCACCUCAAAAACCAGCAUUUUAUUCAAUGGCAACCAUGAAUUGCAAGAACCAUCAACAUCAGGAUCUUCAAUAAAUGAAGUAACAGAAACUACUAUCAGUGCUCGCUAAAAGAUACCUUAAUCAAAUAUGUAAAUUUUUGGUUUAUACUUUCACCUUGAAAUUUAGUUUGUAGACAUUUCUAGAGGUUCUUGAGAAACAAGUAAGUCACGUUAUGGUAUUGCAAAAGAGUGGUGAUAUUUGAACAACUAUUUGAUACAACUUUUGUGACAAUUUCUUUUUUUUCUCUUUUCAUUAGUUAAAAACAAUGGAGAGAGAAAAAGAAGAGAGAGAAUAAGAGUAUAAUGUGAGUAUGAGAGAGAAAAUUAUCAUAAAGUGGUUGUAUAAAUAUCAUUUCUCACUGUAAAAUGAAUAAUUUGAGUAUGUCUCCAUUUCAAUAAGCUUAUCGGUUAGAAGUAAUAUACAGAAAUAUAGCUGUUCAAUAGUAGUAGAGAUAGGUACAACAACUAGCGUAAACAAACGAUCGUGUUUCAUUGUCUUGGGAAAUUCUAAAGGUAAUUAAUUACUCAUAGUGAAUCCACUUAAAAAAAUCAAAUGGUUCAAUCGUUGUCAUUCAAUAUUAAAAACUAAUUAAUAAAUACUUCUAUUGCAAAUAUAGUCAUUAUAAAAAAAAACAAACUAAAAAUUAUAUGGCUUAAUUGCACUUUUUGCACCCUAUCUUUUCAAAAGUUGCGAUUUUGGCCCUCUAACUAAUUAAAAUACAAAACAGCCCCCUAUUUAUUGAAUCUUUGGCAGUUUUGGCCCCCAAAGUCACUUUUAACUUAGUCUGCGCUGACGUGGCACCCAUAUCCCUUAAGUGAGGUGCCACGUGUCGACCAUUGUGGGUGCCACGUCAGCGAAGACUAAGUCAAACGUGGUCUUGGAGACCAAAACUGCAAAAGAUUCAAUACAUAUGGGUUGUUUUGUAUUUUAAUUAGUUAGGGGUGAAAAUCGCAACUUUUGGAAAGAUAGGGGGCCAAAAGUGCAAUUAAGCCAAAUUAUAUUUCACAUAGGAAAGAGUUUAAAUAUAAACCAACCGCGUAAAUAUGUUUUACACUGUCGUUCAAAAAGAAACCAUCGUAUUGUCAUGUAUGUAUAUUUAUAACCAAUUUUUCAAAAAUAAGUUAAAUAUAUUUUCCGUCCAGACAAAAAAGAAUUGCACGGAAAUUUGGACCCUACUCUUAAUUCAACAUAUAUUUUGAUUGACUUUUUUUGCUAACAUGUUUAAAAUAUUAUAAAAAGUUCCUAUAAAAAUAUGAGCUUAAAAAUUGAUUUCUAGGUCGAGAUUUGUAUUACUUUUAUUAUGAAUUUUUGACGUUUCAUAAUCAUAUUUAAUUCAUUUGAUGUUAAAAAAAUUUAGAUGAAUAUUUUAUAAUACACAUCCAAAAAAAAAAUUCAAAAAUUUAGUUUUUGAAAAAAUAAAACUGCAAGUAGGAGUACUCAUGAACAUAGCUCGAUUGGUAAGAAUAUUGCAUAAUAUAUACAAGAGUCGGAGUUCAAAGCUCUAACACCUUACUUAUUCACCUUAUAAGAGAAUUUCUAGCCACCAAACUAUUUAAAAAAAAAAAAAAAACUGCUAGAAAAUUUGUUUAGAAAUGAAAAUGUGCCGCAUGUAAAAAUCUUAAAACAAAAACAUAUGGGUCAAUGCUAAUCUAAACAUGUUUAGAAUAUAUGAUAGGGUCUCGCUAACUAGAGCAUUUGUUAAAGAUACAAAAAUAGAAAUAAUAAGUAAAAAAAUUUUUUUUUUAAGUUUUAAUAUAUUGAAUCCACUAUUUUCAAGAUAAAUUUUUUUCUUUAAACUUCUUAACAAAUGCGCACUUGUUAGCAUUUGACAAUUUAUGAAGAAGAAAAAUGAAAACUUGACAAAUUCGAUGGAAAAAUUUUAUAUUUAACUCUUAAACCCCAAUCUAAAAUCCUCUAAAAAAAUCCCAAUAUAAAAUGGUUUAUAGUUUUUUUUUUACCAUGUAUACUUUUUUUUGAAGAAUUUCACUUAACUCUGAAAAAAUAAUUAUUAACAAAAUUAUAAUUGCAAAAACACUCAUACCUUCUAAGUCAACAAUAUCCAAGAGUGUUCUCUCCACUCUCGCUUCUGUUGGUUGAAUCAUCAUUAGAACUUCUCCAUGUAUCGUACCUCAAGCCAUUCCCAAUGUUCAGGUACGGGUUGCAACCAAGUGGAACACCAUGUUCUCUGGACACGACGCGUGUGCUGCAAGACAGAGAAUACGCCGGCGACUGAUACUUCCCUCGCCGCACAUUUCCUUCACAAAGAACGAAGCACCGCUGGUAAUCACAGUUUCACAAGUUAGUGUUUGCACAAGGGUAAUAUGGUAAACUUCAAAUAAAUAAUAUAUAUUUAAUUUUAGAGCUUGUAUAAAACAGCUUAUGCACAUUGCUAACUGUAGUCUGCAACGACAGACCAUGACCCAUAUUGAGGUACAUUGCUAACUGCCAAGCUUAACAUGCAUGCAUAAAAAGCCUCCUUUAUUAUUAGAUUAGAUACUUACGGGUCAAAUGCAUGCAUCAAAAGCGUCCUUGUUUAUGCUUCUUAGCAUGUAGUACUAUUUUGGAAAUCAAAAUUACCAACAUGAAAACUCAUGUUUGACCAGAAACAAUAGUAAUUAUUUACCUUCUUAUGAACACAUGUUUAUUGUCUUACCACCGUGUUGAGUUGUAUUCAAUUGAAAUGAGAAUCAUCGACCUAAUAAUUUUUCAUAAUGAGGCCUAAUACAAAUUUUAAUAUAUCAUAUAUUUUUUUGUCUACAGCCCUUUUAUUUAUAAACUAUAAUAAAAAUUAUUAAUCUUUUGUUGAUAGACCUAAAACGAGGAUUUUAGUUUCCUAUCUACUUACCUGUGGUUACUUUUCUUCAUUGAUUUUAUUUUCCCACUUUCUCAUGUGUCAGUGUCACUGACCCAUUGUGUGGAAAAUAUAACAAAGCAUCAUCAUGUCCUGUUGAGCAGGGGUACAAUUUUGUUUCAGUUAGAAUAGUUCAAUUAUCUCUUCAUGAAAUGCAAGAGGGGUAUGAUAGAAAAACUCAAUGGACUCUGCUAAAAAUCUUCUCUACCUUAGCACAGUCGAAAAUCAUAAAAACAAAUUGUUAGUGUUAGAUUACUCUUUGAUUCUACUAUGUCUCACCUUAUCUUUUUGCCCUUGUUCUUCUGAUACCAUAACUAUUCACAAACCCAUAAGAGAUGGUGAACUUCUCAUUUCUAAAUCUAAAACAUUUGCUCUUGGAUUCUUCACUCCAGGAAAGUCCACCUCUCGCUAUGUUGGAAUCUGGUACAACAAUUUGCCGAUCCAAACUGUUGUUUGGGUUGCAAAUAGAGAUGCUCCCAUCAAUGACACUUCUGGAAUUCUAUCAAUCAACCAAAAUGGGAAUCUAGAACUCCACCACAAC
rnacentral:lncRNA from 1 species